GCAAUCCCAAUUGGUCAGUUUGCUUAUUCCAGCACCUGCCUGGCAAUGACAAGGGAAUCUCCAGGGGAAGACAAGAAGGUCUGAAAGGAGGCGGCCUGGGAAACUGUGAGGCCCAGGAGGACAAGGUUCGAAGAGGAAAAGGAGAGAACCUUUGGAGGGAUGAGGAUCCGCACGUCUUUCUUCAUGUCGGCGGCUCUCGGGGGCCGACCUCCGCCCGUACGCAUGGAGUGGACUCCUCUCGCCGGGAGCGCCCACCCCACGACGCCACCUGCCAGCCUCUUCGGCCGCUAGGGCUCGCCUCGCCGCCCCCAAAGCUGCUUCCCCGCACGGGAGCCGGGACGGCACCAGCUCCGCCUCCUCCGGCCCAGCGGGCGGCGGCGGCGCCGGGGACGACGGCACGCAGCGAGGGACACGCGCUUUCGGAACGCGAACGCUCUCCGAGCGGGAACAGCGCUCCCGCGGUCAGGCCGCCGCAGCGCAGGCGCGGGGAGCCUCGCCCACCCGCUUCUGGGCACCACGGCCCCAGGGACGUUUUGGGCCCGGAACUUGGCUGACGGAUUCCCUGGUUUAAACCCAUUUAUUCUACAAAUAGGGACAGAAAUUCCCUGUUCAAAGUCACAUAACUAGAGCUUGGCAGUGACUCAGGGCAGGGCUCUUAGCACCAGACUGUGCACUCCAGGAGGGCGGCGACCUCCUUCCUGGUUUUCAGCUGCGUCUCCCCGUUACUGGACAGAACCCUCAGAAAAUGCUUGAUCGAACAGGGCGACUGGCUCCCAGGAUCCGGCGCUUUCCACUCCCCAAGGCCCGGCACCCUAGUUGUUUUUGCGUGUGAUGCUUAUAAAAUACGAUAAAAUGCGUCUUUA